rnacentral:rRNA from 1 species
AUGAACGCUGGCGGCGUGCCUUAGGCAUGCAAGUCAAACGGACACUUAUGUGAUUACAUCAAAUUUGUGUUAGUGGCAGACGAGUUAGUAAUACGCAGGAACCUACCCCCGAGUCGGGAAUAAUUCAUCGAAAGGUGGACUAAUGCUCGAUAGUCUCUACGGAGUAAAGAAGCAAUUCGCUUGGGAAAGGGCCUGCGCGCUAUCAGCUAGUUGGUGAGGUAAAAGCUCACCAAGGCGACGACGGCUAGGGGAGGUGAGAGCCUGACCCCCAACGAUGGGACUGAGACACGGCCCAUACACCUACGGGUGGCUGCAGUCAAGAAUCUUCCGCAAUGGGCGAAAGCCUGACGGAGCGACGCCGCGUGAUGGAUGAAGUCCCUCUGGGACGUAAACAUCUUUUGUGAAGGAGAAAGUACAAGCAUUUAUGCUUGUAUUGCUAGUACUUCAAGAAUAAGGGGUUGCUAAACUCGU